rnacentral:rRNA from 1 species
GUGUCAGCAGCCGCGGUAAUACGAAGGGUGCAAGCGUUAAUCGGAAUUACUGGGCGUAAAGCGCGUGUAGGCGGUUGGCUAAGUCAGAUGUGAAAGCCCCGGGCUCAACCUGGGAAUUGCAUUUGAUACUGGCUGGCUAGAAUGUGGUAGAGGGAGGCGGAAUUCCCGGUGUAGCGGUGAAAUGCGUAGAUAUCGGGAAGAACACCAAUGGCGAAGGCAGCCUCCUGGGCCAACAUUGACGCUGAGACGCGAAAGCGUGGGGAGCAAACAGGAUUAGAAACCCCAGUAGUCC